UCCUGUGUCUCACAUGUACCAAUGGUAGCUUAAGCUCAACUUUGGACAGCCCAGGGGGUCUGUCAGUUAUUUCUGAUUUGUCAUUUGCUAGCACAUGUCUGUCAUAGACCAUCCUUCUCAACACUUAAUCCUUAAGUAGGGGUGUAUACAUUCUUGAUUGUUAGACUAAGCAGGGGGGGUAGUAAAUCUAAAAUUCAUACCCAUUUAGAUCUAAUCACCAAAAAUGCAAAUAUCUCACUUAAUCAUGAAAUGGGAGGUCUGUGACCCAUGUGUGCGAUAGUGGGUAAUGAAUCAGAAUCAACUCACUGCCUUCUGGGAAGUCCUAGAGCAGAGUGUAAACUGUGAUAGGUAGAUGUAAAAUUAGGGAAAGGCACAGGAAGUGAUGCAAGAGAAGAUGUCUUUUAAGGGACUGUCACUUCCUGUGAGACACAGUUCUUCAUUUUUUAGAAGUGGAGACUGGAGAGAAUUCUUCAUGCUUUCAAGUUGAUGCUGGUGAAGAGGGGCAGAAGGAUCUGCUGACUGGACUGACGUGGUGGCCCAGUGGAGAGUUGGGAAGACCUGAAUUUAUAGACUAUGUCGGACACUGGCUAUGUGACCCUGGGAGACCCUGGACAUGAAUGGAUAACCCGAGCUUUAACCAACUGUCCCCUGGAGAAGCCUAAGGAGCCAAGGAAUGGAAGAAAUGAAGCCUCUUCCACUGUCUUCUUUGAGAAUCACAGAAUUUCCCUUAGUUAGAGCCUUGAGGGCUAGCUUGUCUGAUUCAUUGGAUAAAGGCUAGAUGAUGGAUUCCAUUGGCAAAGGGACCUCUCCUCCUCACAUUAGCAUCUUCUCUGCUAUGGACAGUCCAAGAGAGCUUCCUAAAGAAUGGAGCAGAAUACAUGACCCAACAGAAACAUUUCCUGCUUAACAGAUAACCUCAUAUAGAUGAGGGCUCUGGAAUCCCUACUGCAUGGAGUGUGCUUCCUGCAAUUGCUGUUACCCUUCUUGAAGGAGAAGACCAUUUCUAAGUCAAUGAGCUCAAGCCUUGGACUGGCUUUCUAGAAUAUGUGGACCCUGAGAAAAUUGUUUAGACAGUGCAAAGUCAAGAUGAACAUGAAAUAGCUAUUCAUAAGUCCCACUAAAUAUUUCAUGCUUUGAUAUUUUUAUUGCAUCAUGUUUUAAGUCUUCAACAAUCUG
rnacentral:lncRNA from 1 species